UACGAAGUGGGCUAGCGUUGCUCGGAAUCACUGGGCGUAAAGCGCACGUAGGCGGCUUUUUAAGUCAGAGGUGAAAUCCUGGAGCUCAACUCCAGAACUGCCUUUGAUACUGAAGAGCUUGAGUCCGGGAGAGGUGAGUGGAACUGCGAGUGUAGAGGUGAAAUUCGUAGAUAUUCGCAAGAACACCAGUGGCGAAGGCGGCUCACUGGCCCGGUACUGACGCUGAGGUGCGAAAGCGUGGGGAGCAAACAGG
rnacentral:rRNA from 1 species